rnacentral:rRNA from 1 species
UACGUAGGCAGCGAGCGUUGUUCGGAAUUACUGGGCGUAAAGGGUGUGUAGGCGGUGCUCUAAGUUCGGUGUGAAAUCUCCUGGCUCAACUGGGAGGGUGCGCCGGAAACUGGAGUGCUUGAGCGUGGGAGAGGAAAGCGGAAUUCCUGGUGUAGCGGUGAAAUGCGUAGAUAUCAGGAGGAACACCUGUGGUGUAGACGGCUUUCUGGACCAUAGCUGACGCUGAGACACGAAAGCGUGGGUAGCAAACAGG